UUGUUUUGAAAUGCUAAAAUUCGAGUGAAUUAUACCUGAACCGUGUUACUAGAUGAUGGAUGAAAAUAAGAGCCUCCAGCUUGGCUAGUUCGUUGCCUGGACAGGCAUGUACACCACUGCCAAAUGGCAUGAAGGUAUUGGGUUUUGGAGCUG